CCUACGGGAGGCAGCAGUAAGGAAUUUUGGGCAAUGGGCGCGAGCCUGAACCAGCCAAGUAGCGUGAUGGAUUACUGCCCUACGGGUUGUAAACUUCUUUUAUAAAGGAGUAAAGUGAGGCAAGUGUGCCUUUUUGUAUGUACUUUCUGAAUAAGGAUCGGCUAACUCCGUGCCAGCAGCCGCGGUAAUACGGAGGAUCCGAGCGUUAUCCGGAUUUAUUGGGUGUAAAGGGGGCGUAGAUGGGUUGUUAAGUCAGUUGUGAAAGUUUGCGGCUCAACCGUAAAAUUGCAAUUGAUACUGGCAGUCUUGAGUACAGUUGAGGUAGGCGGAAUUCGUGGUGUAGCGGUGAAAUGCUUAGAUAUCACGAAGAACUCCGAUUGCGUAGGCAGCUUACUAAACUGCCACUGACACUGAUGCUCGAAAGUGUGGGUAGCAAAUAGGAUUAGAUACCCUUGUAGUC
rnacentral:rRNA from 1 species